GAGACGACAGGUUGAAUUAUGGGUCAGCGGUGACAAUCACAUCCCCCAUCAUAACAUGAUCAUCUAAAUCAGGAGCCCUGAUACCACUUUGAGUCAACGACUGCCUGCGUCCUUCCACGACGCUAAAGUAUGUGGCUUGUGGGAGUUUAUUAUUAUAGUAUUUCUCCUCUGGUGCGCUCAGUGAAGUUAUGCUUUUCGCUGUGGCUCCGUGUCGUGGAGGUAAUUGAUGGCAGAAUGAAUGGGAGAGUCGCAGGCGACCUGCAUGUAUAGAUGUGGAUUUAUCGCUCCGGAUCCCUCCAACAAUUUCAUCAAAAGCCCAUUGGCCUGCAGCGCUUCUCCCGUGAUAAAUCAGCCGGGCGCGGAGCGGAUGAGAGACAGAUGAGAGACUGGAGCAGAGUUCUUCAUGUCAGAUAUGAGCUUUCUGGAGCCCUGAGGGGCAUCUCAGGCAUCUUACAUCAAAAUUUCCUGCUAUGGAGUUUUGAAAACAGGACAGACGCUACAGCAAACUCUUACAGAAUCCAUUCAUGCACCUGUUGACAAGAUCAGCUGCUCUUUCCAGCACACUAAGGGUUAAAAAGAUGCUUGUUUUGGCCCGUCAACACCUUCCUGAGUGAGUAAACACUCACUUUAGGAUCAAGAGUGUGGCGUGCCAAAAAUCUCAUUCACUAGAGAGGCAGUAAAUCUGUCUUACCUUCAGCCGCGGGACACAGAGACAGCGAGACGCCUGUCACACACACACACACAAACACACACACACCUUACUGUGCUUGAAGAGCGUGUCAACACAACUGAGGACUUAUGUGGAAAUAGCUGAAACUGAAAUCUUGACUGACUGGAAUCCCGCGAGUGUUUCUCAGAGACAACAGUGAAAUCAAAUGCAGAGCAAAUUUGGCUUCAG
ensembl:lncRNA